GCCGGAAGGCCCGCCUCCGCCCUGGGCCUCCCAGGGUCGAAGCCUUCCCGGAGCCGCACAAUGCGCACGGACCGGGCCAAGUCUUGGUACCGGCGGAUGUCCGGGGUCUACGCGGUGGGCGCUUGGACCACGCUGGGCUCCAUGUUUUAUUUAGGCCGGAAAAAACGCAAGCCACCAGGUGAUGAAGUAGAGCAAAAGGAUGUCUCAAGAAAUGAAAUGCUUGAGCCCCCGAAAGGAUUUUACUUGGAAACAAUUGUCACAUAUAAAGAAGAUUUGGUUCCAGUCACUGACAAGAUCCUCAACUUUUUGAAAUCAUGGACUGGUGGCCCUGGACGGGAACCAUGAUUAGAUGCUGCAUGCUGAAAACUGGGACUUUGGUUCAGCAUAUACAUUUCAGGGAUGCCUUGAUUUCCAAUUUAUGUUUAUGAAAAGUGUAUCCAUUUAAUUUAAUUUUGCUGUAAAAUAUGAUCACUCGUAGUAUGCAAUAAAUAUUUCCUUGAGGAAAAGUCAACUUGUGUAUU